CUUGAGGUCUCUGAGCAGGAUCCUGGACGCUGCAUCAUCUGGUCUGCAGCAGUAUGUUCUGGACACUCUGGUGAAGAGAGGAGCUGAGCUGUCAUCUGAUCACCAUCUGGGGGUGAGUUGAGUCAGGUGGUGGGGGAGAAUGCUGGACAGGCCUGGCGUAUCAAAGUGGUUCAGGUGAUCUUCAACUCCCACCUCCAGCAGAGCUUUUGCAGCAGUCUGAGUGAGGCUGGGGACUCAGUGCUGAUGGGGCUGUGCAGAGCUUUGGCUGCAAGCUGGUUGGUGCUUGUAGUGUUGGUGACCUCCUAACCAGAUCUCAUUAACUCCUCAUGUUUUGGGGAAUGAAAGGUCCAGCUGAAACAUCCACUCUCUGUCAGAUUGUUGUCUUCAUUCUGGUGGAAAUUCAGCUCUUAAUUUAUGACUUAUGAGUUUGUGCUUGUAGCUUCUGUUACCUCACCAUGUUCUCUUGUGUCUGCUCAUAGCUCUGUGGACUUGAGUUACCUGAAACCUGAAGGAUUCUCUCAUUGUCUGCUGUUUGGAAAGGACUUACUUGUAACAGAGCUGGAAAACUCACCUGGAAAACUCACCUGCCCAUCCACUCUCCACCCACUCAGCCUUCUGAAACCUUCACUUACCUCCCUGACACAGAAACUCUAAAAGUGAAACACAAGAAAGGACUCUAAUAAAUACUAUAUAAGCAAUUCCGACUGCACUGAUACUCAGCAGUCGUUCUCUCGGGCAGUUCUCUGGUGUCUCCCUGCUCUGUCCCUCCGCAGGAAACCUGCUUACCUCCCCCCCUGUCUUUGAACCUUCUCAAAAUAAAAGCAUGUAAAGCUUUAGCCUCAUGUGGGCUGCUUUAGAGUCGAUGCAU